AGAGAGAGACAGAGAAUAAAAGAAACAAAGAAAGGGAAACAAGGUUUAUAGGGGCGGAUUCGCGCGUUCUACGGCCACGAGUCGAAAUAGGAAGAGGGUGGGUGGGCGAGGACGAAAAAGGAAAAUGUAGAGGAGGAAACGAAGAGUUGGAGGAGGAGGAGUAGCAGGAGUUGGAAGAAGUGGAAGGAGGGAGGAGGUGUGGGCUUGCACACGGCACAUCGAGGAAAAGAGUGGAGGAGGCCGAGUGCGCCUAAUAUGCAACAAGAGAAAAAGAAUUGGCGAUCAAUAGGUAGUAGCUGGGAUGGUGAAAAGGACGUUAUCCGUCGUGGGUAAGUAUCGUGAAAGGCACAGAGAGAGCGACAGCUGCAGACACGAGCGUGCCUUUCUAGAUGCGUUUGGUAUAACACGACAGAGUUCUACUACUGCAUUCACCACGAGGCGCAUGCAUAUGUGAUGGAAGAGGAGUCGCCAACGACUACGACUACGACGACUACGACGACGACGGCGUCAUUGAACCUUCGGAGGGUUUCCUCUCGCUAGAGGGAAAAGCUCUCCCAAAGCUUUAAGCUGUGUGCCGGACUACUGGCGUCGACGCUUAACCCUUUCAUUGAUCAUCCCUACUCCCACUCCUAUUCCUAUUUUCACUACCAUCAUCGUCAUCCUCAUCGUCAUCAUAAUCAUCAUUGUCAUAUUUGUUUGUCCACGAUUAACGCGUUCUAUCGAUAAUUUACUAUUUAGUUAUAGUACAUUUGUGUACUUGUUUCAUUAAAAAUCAUCGAUUUUUGGGAUAAUCGUUAAGACUUUCUUUCGGAGAGCAACUUUGUUAAAAGAGAGAGAGUGUGUGUGUGUGUGUGUGUGUGAGAGAGAGAGAGGGGGGUGGGGGAAGGAGGGAAGGAAGUAAUUCAGCUCUGGAUGCAAGCUGAAUAUAUAAUCAAUUAAUUAAAACUAAUAACAUGCUUGGCCCACUUUGCAUCCAUGGGUUUGCAUAUUCGUCUCGCUGGACUUUCUUACGACCCCACGACCUCAAGUACGCGUGAUGGUAAAAAAGUAAAAAAAAAAAAAAA